rnacentral:lncRNA from 1 species
GAUCAAUGCAAGAAAAAGACAACAAAACGGGAAAGAAUAUUUUCCAGCAUCAUAAAAAGAAAUUGUUGUGAUCUGUCCUUGUAUGAGAUGCAGUAGACUACAUGUUUUCACUUGAUUUCCCAACAUGUCCAAGCAUAAUCCAGACAACGAUCGCUUUUCUGUCAUUGCCUAUACCGAAAUGAUCGAAUAAAAUACGGAACAAGUAAGUGACCUUAAUGCAAAAGAUAACAUGUUGGUCCAGUGUACACAUACAAAAAAAAGCAAAAAUCCACUCAGUAAGAUUGAAAUGACGCCAAAGCACUCGUCUCAUAUAAACUUUUUUCAAUUUAUUGCUAUUUUAUUGUGUCCUAAACAAUUGUCCUUGAUUGCGGAUUUUUCAAAUACAGUAUAUAAACAUUUCUUGGUAGAAUUAAAAAAGAUUUGUUUACAAUGCCCG